ACAGAAUUUUUUGAUUCACAGUUGAUACCUUCUUGGCCAUCGUUUCUGUGUACAUCCCUUACGCCGGAGAAGACAUGAACGGUGUAGCAUCUCGCAAGUUAAGCCUCCAUCAAAGGUCAAAGAUAGCAGGACAACAAUUGUUCAUUUGUUGUUGACAAUGAGCCUCCAUCAAAGGUCAAAGAUGGCAAUUCAUGUGGCUUCUUCCGCUUUGGACAGUAGCAAGACAACCAAUUGUUCAUUUGUUGUUGGCGAUGAGCCUCCUUCAAAGGUCAAAGAUAACAACAAUUCGUGUGGCUUCCGCUUUGGACUGUAGCAGGACAACAAUUGUUCAUUUGUUGUUGACAAUGAGCCCCCAUCAAAGGUCAAAGAUACCACGUCAUGUGGCUUCCGCUUUGGACUGUAGCAGGCCAACCAAUUGUUCAUUUGUUGUUUCAAGCAAUUUUCAUCAUUCCAUGAAGCAACUAAUUAAUAGGUUCAAAAUUCCAUGAGCAUCAUUCCCUUGUGGCCCGUCCUCGCCUUCCCAGAAGAAAUGGCGAAAACGGCCGGCCCGUCUGGUGAUCCUCUUCCUUAUGUUCUCACUCGCCAUCGCCGCCGCUGUUCACUCUCGUGAUUAUGCGUCAACAAUGGGAAAGUCGAAAGGAAGAUAUCUCAUGGAAGCAGAUCAAUGUGCUGGUUGUGUUGAUGGUUCUUUGCAUAAAACCUCACCAGCAGAAGUCCCUGACAAAUCUCCAGUAGAUCCGCCAAAGCCACCGCAUGCGCCGGGACCAGGAGCUCCAUAAACUAUCUAUUUUGAUGAUCGAGCAGAGCAGAUCCUUAUUUUCAAUAGACUUUUAAUUUGAUUGGCACUUUUGUCACUUAUUACUCAAGUGUGGAUGGCGUGUUUCUUUUAUUAAUACUGUUGUUUCUCUUUAGCAUGGAGAUUUGAGUAUGGAUAUGUAUUUUUCA